GACCCCGUAGCUCAGCAGGAUAGAGCAUCAGAUUCCUAAUCUGAGGGCCGCGCGUUCGAAUCGCGCCGGGGUCGCCA
rnacentral:tRNA from 1 species